CAGACUUUGAAUUCUUUAGUUUGGACUAUUAGGAACUGGUGUAGUGCUAUGAAUGUAUGGCCUGUCCUUAUUGUUGAGACAAGCAAUGCUUUCAGGGCUUUAUACAGGGCAUUCUAACAUCAUCUGAACAGGCUGAUAUGACCAUGUUAGAAGACGAACUACCAACAAAAAGAUGACUUUCAUCAGCCCUUAUCAAGGUAUAUUGAGAUGAUUUCUUUGGAGCAAUUCUUGACAACAUUUGUAGUUGAGGCCUUUAGAAUGGAAGAAUGUAUUUCACUACUUUUUGUAUACAUUUCUUGUUUUGUAUUUAGAGAUAAAGGAAUCUGAAUUGGGCAUAAAUUAUGUUGUAAUAUGAUUUCUUAAGCCUAGACUAGUAGACUAAAUAUUGUAAUUACAUUUGAGUAAGUAAUAAAAAUCUAUUUAUGUUA